ensembl:lncRNA
UGUAACGGCCUUUUUUCCAUUUUCCAAUGUUCCAAACUAAAGGCCGUGGGUGACGUGGAUUCGGCUUCAAGUUUACGCACAAACACAAGUUUCCAAAAUAGAGUUCUGUUUAUUCCAAUGGUCUUCUUUGCAUGAAGUUCUAACAAAUGUUUUCUAUUUCCAUAAUCCAAAAUGCUUGUAUUAGGUGUGUGGUAAAAUCUUUUUAUCUUGCCCAAACCAUGCCACGCCGCCCGACAUUACUUUCCAACUAUGCUAGAGCGGUGGGCGUGACCUAAAAUCACCUGCGCCUGUGCCUAGGUAGGCGUAUACAAAUCACGGGUCGAAGUGAGCUUAACAAAAAACAGAAACGGCCAUUACAGGUGGUGUUGGUGGAGGACCAGCAGUGGGUGUAGUCUAGGUGCUGGGAGGCGUUGGGUGGUGUUGGACCAGCAGUGGGUGUAGUCUAGGGGCUGGGAGGCGUUGGGUGGUGUUGGUGGAGGACCAGCAGUGGGUGUAGUCUAGGGGCUGGGAGGCGUUGGGUGGUGUUGGACCAGCAGCGGGUGUAGUGCUACAGCUAUGUGGCUUGGGUCAGGACGCAGAAGGUGGGAGCUACUGCGUCAAGGAUGGGGACCCUGAAGCAGUAUGUGCUGGCCCGGGACGCUGAGCCCACAGCAGCACCGGAGCCAGGACAUGUCCUCCCACGGCCAGGUGUCUCCUACUCUGACCCGACCGACGCCGAACUGCUCGCCGCUGCCGACGAGGUCGACCCUCCCAGCACGUCCAGGGACGCCCCGCCGGCCGCGGCCCCGCUGGAAGGACCAGCACCAGGUCCAGGACCAGGACCGAUGGCCACGAGACCUGCCUCCGGCAAAGAGCUGCUUCCCCUCAGCUGGAGGAAGACGCUGCCUGAGGAGCAGCAGGAGUGGGUGGGCCGGGCGCUGUUCCACAGGGACCCCAGCAGCGGGAAGGCGGUGCUCACCACACCGCCCCGACUGUGGUGGUACCCGCCAGGCGCCCGGCUCCUCUACACGCAGCCCCCCGCCACAGCCCACGCCUUCUUCCAGCGCCCCUUCUUCCUCUGGCUUCCGUAUCGGAUGUGGGUGUACCACCUCAAGUGCCCCGCCGAUGGGGGUAAGCUGAUGGGUGCUGGCCUAUACAAGACCGUGCGGAGGGUCUUGGACAGGAGCGGGUGGUAUUACAUGGCCACAGAGUGCCUUCAGUGCCCCUCCUGCGGCAAGAAGGUGGCGGGCUGGUCGCAGGACAUCCUGGAGCAGCUGGACGUUGCUCACCGCGAGCAAUUCCCGGCCGUUCUGACCUACAAGUUUUCCUGCGACAGGGCGGUGAUAGCGAUGCUCAAGGAGCGCACCUUGGGCAACGGCGUCUCUCGCCUCCGUGCCUCCCUGGUGGAGCAGCACUCCAGGGACUGGAUGCAGCACUCCAUCGCCUACCUGUCUGUGCUCCGCAAGCUGAGGGGACCCGGAGCGGCCCAGAAGGACGACGUGUCCCUGCCGACCUUCGGCAAGGUGCCCGGGCUCACCUGGUUUGGUCGGGUGUACGUGCUGGAGGCCGUGACCAGGCUGGACGAGACCAAGGCCAGGGUGACGUCGAUCUUCGGCGACAUCCUAAAGAUGGACUCCACCAAGAAGAUCGCCAAAAGCUCGCGGGCGGCGCCGCCGGGUCUGCUGCCUGGAUGACCAACGUUGGCAACGAGUACGGGCAGGUGCUCGUGUCCGUUCUCACCUCGGCCGAGGGGGAGGGACUGACCAACAUGGCGGCCGGCCUGAUGCGGCGGUACCGCGAAGCCGGGAAGGCCCCUCCGAGGGUCCUGUAUGUGGACCGGGACUGCUGUGCCGCCGUGGGCAAUUCUGCCACGCACGGCAUGUACCACGAGUGGCAAGAGCUGGUGGUGCGGCUGGACGUGUGGCACCUCAUGCGGCGCUUCGCGAGGGGCGUCACCACCGACAGCCACCAGCUCUACGGCCUCUUCAUGGCCAGGCUGUCCUUCGCCAUCUUCGAGUGGGACGGCGAGGACGUGCGGCGCCUGAAGGAGGCCAAGCAGUCCUCGGAGGGGAGGGACGCCCAGGUCACGCUGUCCGCCAAGGAGCUGGCUCGCCACUGUCGCCGCCGUACGAGGGGUGCGGCGGAGACGGAGCGGCUCAUCCAGGAGGUGCUGGACGCCUUCUGGCAUGUGACGGACACCAUGGGCGUUCCCUUUGAUCGACCGCGCCCGCAUGGAGGACAUCUGGGGCACGCAGCGCCGCCACCUCGACUGCGUCCAGGACCCAGAGGGGGUGGAGCUGUACACCAAGACGGGAGAGAUCACCAAGGGUGGUGUGAGGCUCCCCGUCUUCCGGUGCGCUCGCGGCUCCACCUCCCUCGAGUCCUUCCACCUGCACCAGUGCCGCUUCGUUCCGGGUACCACCUCGAGUGACGUCCACUAUCAGGUGUACCUGCUGGAGGGCCUGGCUCGGUGGAACGAGGACCGCGGCAGGGCGGCAGUCGAGGGAGGGCCGAGAGCGGCGCUGCGGUGCUACAGCGCCCGGCUGCAGCACAGCUUCAACGAGCUGGCCUCUGAGGUCAACGGGGUCCAGCCGGUCGACGACUUCACCCAGCCCAGAGAUCAACACACAGCGCCAUGACAUCAUCGCUCUCUGGGAGAGGCUGACGGAGCGGGACAAGGCGCCGGUGACCUUCACCCCCCGCCACCAGGACCGGCUGGCUAAAGGUCGGUUCAAGACCAGCAACCGCCACGCCCACAUCCCGGGAGUGGACAGUGUGAAGCGUGUCGUCGUGGGUAAGGGUGCGGGAGCGGCACAGUACCCAAGCCUCAGCAGGGUCGUCGAGGCCAUCAUGUUGGAGCUGUGCCGCGUCCACAGCAGCGACGCCAAGACCAUCGCCGGGGCACGCCUAAACCGCUGGGGUGCCGUCAUGAGGGAUUACAAAUUGAUCCAGGACAACGUGGUCAACUGUCCUGCCCUCAUGGCGAGCACCCGCAUCAUGCUGUACGACGUGAACCAGCGGACCCUGUCCAUGUGGCAAAACACCAGGGAAAAAAACAAGAUGAGGGACACCCUCUCCCUCGCAGUCCCGGGGCCCAGCGCUCCCCAGACUGCAGCGGAGCCCCGGUCGGCCCCACGGACUCUGCUGCAGCAGCCCCAGCAGCCAGACCAGCCCCUCCAGCACCACCUGCCCGCGGGUGCCUCUGGUCUGGCGGCAACAAUCAGAGGGCCGCUGGCCCCGGAGCUCUACGACCUCGUGGUGAAGCAGCAGAGUGCCGCCGCCGCCACCCCCCCGGACCUCAGCCCGCUCUCAGCCGCGGCCACCGCUCCAGCCAUUGCCGCUCCGGCCGUCGCCAUUGCUGGAGCCAUGCCCCGCUCCACUGUCUGGAGGCACAGGGUCCAGGAGGAGAAGGAGCGUCGUGCCCGGGAGCUAGGGGUCUACCUCAAGCCCCUUAAAAAGGUCUCGGGCUUUACCUGCAGCCGCUGUGGCCAGCACAAGACCAGGGAGAACGGCCACAGCCGCUACAAGCGGGAGACCUUUUGCGCCCGGGCCGACGGGGGAACGGUGGAGCAGUGGCGCCGUGAUCGGCUGGCCAGAGACCGCGAGGCCCCCCCCCCGCCGCCACCCUGACACUCUUUCCCCCCCCCAGCAGUAGUGUGGAGCUGGCUGUGUAGAGGGAC